GACGAACGCUGGCGGCGUGCUUAACACAUGCAAGUCGAACGGAAAGGCCCUGCUUUUGUGGGGUGCUCGAGUGGCGAACGGGUGAGUAACACGUGAGUAACCUGCCCUUGACUUUGGGAUAACUUCAGGAAACUGGGGCUAAUACCGGAUAGGAGCUCCUGCUGCAUGGUGGGGGUUGGAAAGUUUCGGCGGUUGGGGAUGGACUCGCGGCUUAUCAGCUUGUUGGUGGGGUAGUGGCUUACCAAGGCUUUGCCGGGUAGCCGGCCUGAGAGGGUGACCGGCCACAUUGGGACUGAGAUGCGGCCCAGACUCCUACGGGAGGCAGCAGUGGGGAAUAUUGCACAAUGGGCGGAAGCCUGAUGCAGCAACGCCGCGUGCGGGAUGACGGCCUUCGGGUUGUAAACCGCUUUCGCCUGUGACGAAGCGUGAGUGACGGUAAUGGGUAAAGAAGCACCGGCUAACUACGUG
rnacentral:rRNA from 1 species